GGGGAAUUUUCCGCAAUGGGCGAAAGCCUGACGGAGCAACGCCGCGUGAGGGACGAAGGUUUUUGGAUCGUAAACCUCUUUUCUCAGGGAAGAAGUCAGUGACGGUACCUGAGGAAUCAGCAUCGGCUAACUCCGUGCCAGCAGCCGCGGUAAUACGGAGGAUGCAAGCGUUAUCCGGAAUUAUUGGGCGUAAAGCGUUCGUAGGCGGUUUUGUAAGUCUGCUGUUAAAGUGCGGAGCUUAACUCCGUAAGAGCGGUGGAAACUGCGAGACUUGAGUGUGGUAGGGGUAGAGGGAAUUCCCAGUGUAGCGGUGAAAUGCGUAGAUAUUGGGAAGAACACCGGUGGCGAAAGCGCUCUACUGGACCAUAACUGACAC
rnacentral:rRNA from 1 species